UGCCAGCCGCCGCGGUAAUACGAAGGUGGCGAGCGUUGUUCGGAUUUACUGGGCAUAAAGGGCGCGUAGGCGGAUCGGUAAGCGGCGUGUGAAAUCCCGGAGCUCAACUCCGGAACUGCACGCCGAACUACCGUUCUAGAGGGCAGGAGGGGAGUGUGGAACUCUAGGUGUAGCGGUGAAAUGCGUAGAUAUCUAGAGGAACGCCGGUGGCGAAAGCGACACUCUGGCCUGCUUCUGACGCUGAGGCGCGAAAGCGUGGGUAGCAAACAGGAUUAGAUA
rnacentral:rRNA from 1 species